UCAGAAUUAAGAAAUUCUUCAUUUGCAAUGUACUGCUGUCUUCUGAUUUGGUCCAGGUACCAGAUUCCUCUCUCUUCUGUCAAGCGGAAGAUGCAAGGCACUUGAAGCUGAUCCUUUCCAGAAAUUAACUCCAGAGGCUGCCACAUCUGACCCACCCCAACAACACUACCACCCAGCCCACUCUCAGAGGCAAGUGACCAGCCCAAUAAUGUUCCAGAUGGAAAAGGAGAAGUUUCCAGGCAAGCUAUGUCCACAGACCAUCCUUGAACUGUGCACUGAAAAGCCCCACCCAAGAGAAACAGUUGGUAUGGCUAAAGACAGUUGGAAUCGGCCCCAGGAAGCAGGAAGUUCUGAGAGUUUUGUUUUAUUUUGUUUUUGCCCUCCUCAGGAGAAGCAGAAAUUCAGAUCUGAAGGUAAAAUCUGCCUAUGUUGAAAGUUGGCUCUGAACUUUUUAAGCCUAUAAAGGAAAAAAAAAAAUAGGUCUCUGAACAAGAUGCAGCUAAA